rnacentral:rRNA from 1 species
UACGUAGGGGGCAAGCGUUGUCCGGAAUCAUUGGGCGUAAAGAGCGUGUAGGCGGCCCGAUAAGUCCGCUGUGAAAGUCCAGGGCUCAACCCUGGAAUGCCGGUGGAUACUGUCGGGCUCGAAUCCGGAAGAGGUGAGUGGAAUCCUGGUGUAGCGGUGAAAUGCGCAGAUAUCAGGAGGAACACCAAUGGCGAAGGCAGCUCACUGGGACGGUAUUGACGCUGAGACGCGAAAGCGUGGGGAGCAAACAGG